AAUCAACGCUGGCGGCGUGCCUAACACAUGCAAGUCGCACGAGAAAGGGACUUCGGUCCUGAGUACAGUGGCGCACGGGUGAGUAACACGUGACUAACCUACCUCCGAGUGGGGAAUAACCUAGAGAAAUCUGGGCUAAUACCGCAUAACACUUACGAGUCAAAGCAGCAAUGCGCUUGGAGAGGGGGUCGCGGCAGAUUAGUUAGUUGGCAGGGUAAUGGCCUACCAAGACGAUGAUCUGUAUCCGGCCUGAGAGGGCGCACGGACACACUGGAACUGAAACACGGUCCAGACUCCUACGGGAGGCAGCAGUGGGGAAUUUUGCGCAAUGGGGGAAACCCUGACGCAGCAACGCCGCGUGGAGGAUGAAAUCCCUUGGGAUGUAAACUCCUUUCGAUCGGGAAGAUAAUGACGGUACCGAGAGAAGAAGCCCCGGCUAACUUCGUGCCAGCCGCCGCAGUAAG
rnacentral:rRNA from 1 species